AUGGAGUCUAUACGCCUGGAUUCCAAAGAUUUCAAGGGCUGGAAGUUCGAAAAGUUUGCUCGUUCUGUUGACAACCGGCUGCUCGUCCGUUCAAAUGCAGACCUGCAGACAUUCCAGCUGCACUGGGACGAGUAUCUUCCCAACGGCAAUGCUGUCAGAAGGUGGAUGAAGUAUGCAGUGAAUCACAAAGUUAAAGUGCUUGAUGUGAUCCUUCGUGAUUAUGAUAAGAGCCAUUUACCUCCAUGCAUCUUCACCUGCCGUUCGCUUCAGGAGCUGAAUUUGCAGUGGGGGGGAGCCAAUUACGACGAUCUCGAGCAUAUCAGACUUGUAAUACCAGAUAGAAUCAACUUCCCUUCUCUCCGGAAGUUGACUCUGCGUGAUGUGCAAGUGGACGGGCUUACUCUGGAGACUUUAAUUGCUUACAGCCCUCACCUAGAAGACAUGCAUUUGAUAGAUUCUCUGAUGUAUCUUCAGCUCAUAGCCUCCAAGGUGUUAAAAAGGCUGACCAUUGAUGGCUACAUAGAUUCGAAAAAUGGUUUUACAAUUUCUGCUCCCCAUCUGAUUAGCUUUGAGUGCAAGCGCUAUAAACUGAAAGAUAUUUCUUGGGGAGACCAGCCAACUCUAGAGAGUGCACACAUUGAUUCUCGUGGGAAAAUGUUUGAUGGCGAAUCUAACUAUACGGAAAUUCUUGUGCAUGCAAAGAAAAUUGCCUUAUUUGGUUCUGACAUAAAGGUUAUGCUGGAAAAGGAGUUGCCAACAUGUUCUGCAGUUGAGAGCCUCACAACUCUGGAAAUCGGCGACUGGCAUCUUACCAACGACCUCUACGUUGUGCUCCGCUUCCUGCAGCUUUCACCGAGGCUAGAAAAGAUCAAGCUGGUGCAUAAAUCAGUACCCCGUAUGCUACAUGUAGCUAGAAUUCUUGCACUGGUCUUAAGAAUAUUCACUAAAAGGCACCCUUUUCUUGUUUGUCUCCAGGAUGAAGGAGCAGGCACAAACGUUCGGUCAACUGAUGGAAUGACCUUCCAGUGUCCACUCCUCGAGAGCGUCGUGAUACAGUGCUUCGAGGGGGGUGAAGGGAUCGACAUGCUGGGGAAUGUCAUGGCAGCUAACGGGUCCACCUGGACAAGAUAA
rnacentral:rRNA from 1 species